UGUAUAUUCUAACUUUCCAAUUAUCCACACACAACAGUAGCCUGCCCGUGAGCGAUGUCAAUUUUUUUUUACCUAUGUUAAAAUCUAACAACGACAUCGUAAACGUAUACUCGAGCAGAAAUAAUACCUUAAAUACAUUAGCUAUACUUAUCAGCAUUAUUAACGAUUAAAAUAUUAAAUUGAUGAAUUAUUUCCGUCUAGUUCUCGUAAAUUAUUAUCUGCCGUUUCGUGGUUAUUCGUUUGAUAUAUUACGGUUAUUUGGCGAUCAUCGUGCCGUGCUUU